rnacentral:rRNA from 1 species
AACGAACGCUGGCGGCAGGCUUAACACAUGCAAGUCGAACGCAUCCUUCGGGGUGAGUGGCAGACGGGUGAGUAACGCGUGGGAACGUGCCCUUCAGUUCGGGAUAACCCAGGGAAACUUGGGCUAAUACCGGAUACGUGCGAGAGCAGAAAGAUUUAUCGCUGAAGGAUCGGCCCGCGUCUGAUUAGCUAGUUGGUGGGGUAAUGGCCCACCAAGGCGACGAUCAGUAGCUGGUCUGAGAGGAUGAUCAGCCACAUAGGGACUGAGAAACGGCCCAAAAUCCUACGGGAGGCGGAAGUGUGGAAUAUUGGACAAUGGGCGCAAGCCUGAUCCAGCCAUGCCGCGUGAGUGAUGAAGGCCUUAGGGUUGUAAAGCUCUUUCGUCCGGGACGAUAAUGACGGUACCGGAAGAAGAAGCCCCGGCUAACUUCGUGCCAGCCGCCGCGGUAACAC